GUGCUCACUUCGGCAGCACAUAUACUAAAAUUGGAACGAUACAGAGAAGAUCGCAUUGGCCCCUGCGCAAGGAUGACAUGCAAAUUCGAGAAGCGUUCCAUAUUUAU
rnacentral:snRNA from 1 species